AGCAGCGCCACGGGAAUACGUAGGUGGCAAGCGUUGUCCGGAAUUAUUGGGCGUAAAGGGCUCGCAGGCGGUUUCUUAAGUCUGAUGUGAAAGCCCCCGGCUCAACCGGGGAGGGUCAUUGGAAACUGGGGAAACUUGAGUGCAGAAGAGGAGAGUGGAAUUCCACGUGUAGCGGUGAAAUGCGUAGAGAUGUGGAGGAACACCAGUGGCGAAGGCGACUCUCUGGUCUGUAACUGACGCUGAGGAGCGAAAGCGUGGGGAGCGAACAGGAUUAGAUACCCCUGUAGUCCCUGUCUCUUAUAC
rnacentral:rRNA from 1 species